AAGCUUCCUGAAAUCGGUUCAGAGAGACCGUGUUGAGGAUGCUCAUCCAAGUGCAAGCGAAAAAUCAAAGCUUUUUCCACCAGGAUCUGCCUAGGAAACUCCACCGCACAUUUACCAGACUGCUGUCCACUGUCGGUACAAACACGGAAGGGGGCACUACGUGAAGAUAAAGCCUCCACUCACGAUUUUAACACAGCAUGACAGUAUAAUUAAUUGGAUAGUGUCUGUCUCCCUCAUCCAGUGGACUCCUUGACGACACUCAUUUUCACAUGUCCCCUGAAAACCCCGCUGCUCCUCCAGAUCGUGCUGCCCUCAUGCGGACUCUGAGCAAAGGGAAUCCAACAGACAGUGAGUGGCUGUGUGGGAGCUGGCGAGAUGGAGCCCAAAGAAGUUGGUGAACAUUGAUGCAGGGGUUUAUCACUGGAGGCCUCUGUCGGGCUCCAGCAUCAUGACCUGACCCUGCAAAGCACCUUAGUGAUCAGGUGUGCGCCUUUCUCCUACCCAGUUGGAAGAUCACCUCAAUUUCUCCAAGAUGUGGAUGUGGGGAGCCAUGAAAGGGUCUUAACGCCGAUGAAUGUGGAUCUUGAGAAGAACCAACAGUCUUUGAGGAUUAAGUCGCAGUGACUCCUUUCCAUGUAAGGCCUUCCACAGUGUGGACCAAACUCGCCUUUCCAAUUCCAUCUCUCCUUACUCCACAGAACACCACACUGCAGCCUGCAGGCAGGUUCUGGCCACCUGUGCAUCCCCUACAAAGCCUGGCACAGAGCAAGGUCCCAAUGGACAUGGAGGUCCCCUCCCCCUUGGCUCACGUGAUGCUCUCCUCUUACACCCCAGCUUCAGCUCCACCAUGUCUGUAUCUUCUCACACCACCUCCUGCCCAGGGAGCUCCUGAGCUUCUUGGCCCUCACUGUCUCCCCCACCGACAGGACCCUGCUGAUUCCUUCCCUUGUCUCACGAGAGGGUCUCCCUGAUAUUGUUAGGUUUGUUUGAAAUUCUCACGACAUCGACCAGCCAUCUGAGCACAAACUAAAUGUGUAAUACAUACAGGUAGGAAGUGGGAGAGGAAAUGACUCAGCAGCGCCCCCUGUUGGCCAGGGUCCUCCCAAAGUGCUCCCGUUGGCAGGCUGCUGGUACAUCCUGAUGGCACUCAGAGCCUAGGCUUGGACACCUGGCGGGCAGGAGCUCACCACCUUGCCAAGACAGGCUAUUCCAACUGUGGAACUGACUGACCCCCCCACCCUGUGAAAACACAGUGGCGUUCAGGCUUACUGAGCA